AUUGAACGCUGGCGGCAUGCCUUACACAUGCAAGUCGAACGGCAGCACGGGAGCUUGCUCCUGGUGGCGAGUGGCGAACGGGUGAGUAAUAUAUCGGAACGUGCCCUGGAGUGGGGGAUAACUAGUCGAAAGAUUAGCUAAUACCGCAUACGAUCUAAGGAUGAAAGUGGGGGAUCGCAAGACCUCAUGCUCGUGGAGCGGCCGAUAUCUGAUUAGCUAGUUGGUGAGGUAAAGGCUCACCAAGGCAUCGAUCAGUAGCUGGUCUGAGAGGACGACCAGCCACACUGGGACUGAGACACGGCCCAGACUCCUACGGGAGGCAGCAGUGGGGAAUUUUGGACAAUGGGCGCAAGCCUGAUCCAGCAAUGCCGCGUGAGUGAAGAAGGCCUUCGGGUUGUAAAGCUCUUUUGUCAGGGAAGAAACGGUGAGGGUUAAUACCUCUUGCUAAUGACGGUACCUGAAGAAUAAGCACCGGCUAACUACGUGCCAGCCGCCGCGGUAA
rnacentral:rRNA from 1 species